GGAUGUCCAUGAAGCCAACCCAAAAGAUCUAGAAGAUAAGCAACCCAAAGAUCCCAAUCAAUUACUCGUUUGGGGUGGACAUCAAGAUAAACAACCCUUAUUGGUCGUUUCGGGUGGCCAUGAAGAUAAGCAACCCAAGGAUCCCAAUCAAUUACUCGUUUGGGGUAACCGUGAAGCCAACUCAAAAGAUCUAGAAGAUAAGCAACCCAAAGAUCCCAAUCAAUUAUUCGUUUGGGGUGGCCAUCAAGAUAAGCAGUAUAAGGAUCCCAAUCAAUUAUUUGUUUCAGGUGUCCAUGAAGCCAACUCAAAAGAUCUAGAAGAUAAGCAACCCAAAGAUCUCAAUCAAUUACUCGUUUGGGGUGGCCAUCAAGAUAAGCAGUCCAAGGAUCCCAAUCAAUUAUUUGCUUCAGGUGUCCAUGAAGCCAACUCAAAAGAUCUAGAAGAUAAGCAACCCAAAGAUCCCAAUCAAUUACUCGUUUGGGGUGGCCAUCAAGAUAAGCAGUCCAAGGAUCUCAAUCAAUUAUUUGCUUCGGAUGUCCAUGAAGCCAACCCAAAAGAUCUAGAAGAUAAGCAACCCGGAGAUCCCAAUCAAUUACUCGUUUGGGGUGGCCAUGAAGAUAAGCAACCCAAGGAUCCCAAUCAAUUACUCGUUUGGGGUAACCGUGAAGCCAACUCAAAAGAUCU
rnacentral:lncRNA from 1 species